GUGCUCGCUCGCGCAGGCGAGUGUCCGCGUCUCCCUCGCGAACUCGGUGAAAGGAAUUGGCGCCGUUCGACACCAGGCGGGUCCGCUCUGCAGCACGAAUCCUCCAGCCGCAGCCGCCGCCGGGCCGAGAGCGAGCCAGCGCCAGCGUGAAUCGGGCCUCACCAUGAGUUCCUCGCCUGUGAACGUGAAGAAGCUGAAGGUGUCGGAACUGAAGGAGGAGCUCAAGAAGCGGCGCCUCUCCGACAAGGGCCUCAAGGCCGAGCUCAUGGAGCGGCUCCAGGCCGCGCUGGACGACGAGGAGGCCGGCGGCCGCCCCGCCAUGGAGCCCGGGAACGGCAGCCUGGACCUGGGCGGGGACUCGGCCGGGCGCUCGGGCGCGGGCCUGGAGCAGGAGGCCGCGGCCGGCGGCGACGACGACGACGAGGAGGACGAGGAGGAGGAGGAGGGCAUCGCCGCUCUGGACGGCGACCAGAUGGAGCUGGGCGAGGAGAACGGGGCGGCGGGGGCGGCCGACGCGGGCCCGAUGGAGGAGGAGGAGGCCGCCUCGGAGGACGAGAACGGCGACGAUCAGGGCUUCCAGGAGGGGGAGGACGAGCUCGGCGACGAGGAGGAGGGCGCGGGCGACGAGAACGGGCACGGCGAGCAGCAGCCCCAACCGCCGGCGGCGCCGCAGCCGCAGCCCCCGCAGCAGCGCGGGGCCGCCAAGGAGGCGGGGGGCAAGAGCGGCGGCCCCACCUCGCUGUUCGCCGUGACCGUGGCGCCGCCCGGCGCGAGGCAGGGCCAGCAGCAGGCGGGAGGUAAGAAGAAGGCGGAAGGCGGCGGAGGCGGCGGUCGCCCCGGGGCUCCGGCGGCGGGAGACGGCAAAGCAGAGCAGAAGGGCGGAGAUAAAAAGAGAGGGGUGAAGAGACCUCGGGAGGACCACGGCCGCGGCUAUUUCGAGUACAUUGAGGAGAACAAGUACAGCAGAGCCAAGUCUCCUCAGCCGCCAGUGGAGGAAGAAGAUGAACACUUCGAUGACACAGUGGUUUGUCUUGAUACUUAUAAUUGUGAUCUGCAUUUUAAAAUAUCAAGAGAUCGUCUCAGUGCUUCUUCCCUUACUAUGGAGAGUUUUGCUUUUCUUUGGGCUGGAGGAAGGGCAUCUUAUGGUGUGUCAAAGGGCAAAGUCUGUUUUGAGAUGAAGGUUACAGAGAAGAUCCCAGUGAGGCAUUUAUAUACAAAAGAUAUUGACAUACAUGAAGUUCGUAUUGGCUGGUCACUAACCGCAAGUGGAAUGUUGCUUGGUGAGGAAGAAUUUUCUUAUGGAUAUUCUCUAAAAGGAAUAAAAACCUGCAAUUGUGAGACUGAAGAUUAUGGAGAGAAGUUUGACGAAAAUGAUGUGAUUACAUGUUUUGCUAACUUUGAAAGCGAUGAAGUGGAACUCUCUUAUGCAAAGAAUGGACAAGAUCUUGGCAUUGCCUUUAAAAUCAGUAAGGAAGUUCUUGCUGGACGGCCACUAUUCCCACAUGUUCUCUGCCACAACUGUGCAGUUGAAUUUAAUUUUGGUCAGAAGGAAAAGCCAUAUUUUCCAAUACCUGAAGACUAUACUUUUAUCCAGAAUGUCCCCUUGGAGGAUCGAGUUAGAGGACCGAAGGGGCCUGAAGAGAAGAAAGAUUGUGAAGUGGUUAUGAUGAUUGGCUUGCCAGGAGCUGGAAAAACAACCUGGGUUACUAAACAUGCAGCAGAAAAUCCUGGUAAAUACAACAUUCUUGGAACAAAUACCAUAAUGGAUAAAAUGAUGGUGGCAGGUUUUAAGAAGCAAAUGGCAGAUACUGGAAAACUCAACACGCUGUUGCAGAGAGCUCCACAGUGUCUUGGAAAGUUUAUUGAGAUUGCUGCCCGUAAGAAGCGAAAUUUCAUUCUGGAUCAGACAAAUGUAUCUGCUGCUGCCCAGAGGAGAAAAAUGUGCCUCUUUGCAGGCUUCCAACGAAAAGCUGUCGUAGUUUGCCCAAAAGAUGAAGACUAUAAGCAGAGAACACAGAAGAAAGCAGAAGUGGAGGGGAAAGACCUACCAGAGCAUGCAGUCCUCAAAAUGAAAGGAAACUUUACGCUGCCAGAGGUAGCUGAGUGCUUUGAUGAAAUAACCUAUGUUGAACUUCAGAAGGAGGAAGCCCAGAAACUUUUGGAGCAGUAUAAGGAAGAAAGCAAAAAGGCUCUUCCACCAGAAAAGAAACAGAACACUGGCUCAAAGAAGAGCAAUAAAAAUAAGAGUGGCAAGAACCAGUUUAACAGAGGUGGUGGCCAUAGAGGACGUGGUGGAUUCAAUAUGCGUGGUGGAAAUUUCAGAGGAGGAGCUCCUGGGAAUCGUGGUGGAUAUAAUAGGAGGGGCAAUAUGCCACAGAGAGGUGGUGGCGGUGGUGGAAGUGGUGGAAUUGGCUAUCCAUACCCUCGUGGCCCUGUUUUUCCCAGCCGAGGUGGUUAUUCAAACAGAGGGAACUACAACAGAGGUGGAAUGCCCAACAGAGGGAACUACAACCAGAACUUUAGAGGACGAGGAAACAAUCGCGGCUACAAAAAUCAAUCUCAGGGCUACAACCAGUGGCAGCAGGGUUCUGUCCAUGUGAAUGUGCUGUGUGGAAGAGUAAAAGGGCCCAACUAAAUGUGUUCCAGAGAUUCCAAUAGCUAUUUAGCUGGUACCUACUGCUAUAUCACCUAGUGUGAAUUUUCGGAAUUAAUGGAACAAUGAAGGAAGCAGUGCAGCUGGAGGCUCCAAGUGGGCAUGGAAGGUCUCCUCCAAUUUAUGCAAUCAUUCUGCUGUGAACAUGAACUAACCUUGUUACUGGUGAAGGCCUUGGAAAUUUUUGCCAGCCGAAAAAGAGGUUUCUCUCUUACUCAGGGUAAGAUGUGAUCGUAGUGUGCUAGAGCUAGAAGAGACUUUCUUUAAUCCAGUUGCCCGGUUUUCUGUUACAUAUGUUAGUAAACGGAAGCUGAGAACAUAAGUGGCCUGCAAACAGCUUAUGAAAUAUUAGAUUUGAUUCGUACUCAUCACUUUUUCCCCUACUCAUGCAGUGUGCUGCCUCUUAAAACGAGUGACACUCACUCCCUGAGAUUUUAACAUAAUUAUUUGGUCAUGAUAAUUUGAACAACAUAGACUGCACUCAACUUUGACUUGUGUCGGUAAGAGUGGGCAGAUGUUCUUGCACAUUGUGCAAUUUACUGUAAUUAACUUUCCCUAAUCAAUAUCCAAGUCCUACCCUUGGUGGCUGCCAGAUAAUUAGGAUCAAUAAAAAUCUCUUAGGAUAUGCUUCACAAUGUUAUUCUCCAGUAGUUACGGCAUUUGGUAAACCACAUAGCCUGUGCAUCCCCACCCUCAUGACGACAGCCACAAGAAGGUGGAUGUGGGAAGAAAAUGCUACAUCUCUGGUUCAUUGACCUGGAGGAGCAAGCCCCACUUACCUUAUGAAAAGGGAUACAGAACAAAGUUUCAGGACAUCUCUUCCUUGCUCUGUUUCUUUAGCUCACCAUAUUAAGUAACAGAACCAAUAAUGAUGCCAUAAUCCUGUCCACUGGUGUCUCUUUUCAUAUUUAUCAUUUCUUAACCAAGAAGACUUCCAGCUUGUGCUUUGUCAUAUUUAAAAGAUUUUCUUGAAAAGUAAUGUUAAUGUUUUUUUAAAACCAAAAAUAAUUUAAUUGCUUUGGAAAGGGAGAAUUUUUUCCUGAAUGAAUAAAUUCUGUGGACUUAGUUUGAUGUUGGGUGCCUUGUUUGCUGUUUUUCUGGCAGCCGAUUAAAUUGUUACAUUAAUGUAAAUAAGACCUUUAUAAUAUGAGUGUAAUCCUGCAUUUCUUUUUCCUUUGCACCAAACAAGUUCUGAAAAUAUUUUCAUGCAUGCCAUGUGCAUAUUUAAAUUCUAUUUAUAUAAUUAAAACCCUGUAUACUUCCAAAAAAUAUUUAGAGCAGUUAAAGACAUUUAUUUUUUGCAAGAUGACUUACCUGUUGUAAGAAAUGGAAGAAUAGUGUCAAGCAGUGGGUACAUUUUUUAACAUACCAAUUUGCAAAGUGAUAAAAUCCAUUACUUUGUCUUAGAAUAGUACUGGCUUUAGAAACCAGGAGGUAUUCCCUAAUUUUUAACGGGACAGUAAUACAGUUGUUUGUUGUUUUUAAGGCAAGUUUUAGAAUCCAACUGGGAGAGAUUUUAUUUCUUGAAAUGCUGUCAUUUGUAUUCAUUCAUUCCUUAUCACAAAUUAAGUAUGAUAAGUCCACUCUAUGCUGUACUGGCAGUAGAUACAGGGUCAGAACAACUUUGUAAGUAUUCAUACGAGUGUUAAAAAAAAAAAAAAAAGACUACCAUUUACAC